rnacentral:rRNA from 1 species
GUUGGGUAGGGGAGCGUUCUGUAAGCCUGUGAAGGUGUGUCGUGAGGCAUGCUGGAGGUAUCAGAAGUGCGAAUGCUGACAUAAGUAACGAUAAAGCGGGUGAAAAGCCCGCUCGCCGGAAGACCAAGGGUUCCUGUCCAACGUUAAUCGGGGCAGGGUGAGUCGACCCCUAAGGCGAGGCCGAAAGGCGUAGUCGAUGGGAAACGGGUUAAUAUUCCCGUACUUGGUGUUACUGCGAAGGGGGGACGGAGAAGGCUAUGUUGGCCGGGCGACGGUUGUCCCGGUUUAAGCGUGUAGGUGUGUGUUCCAGGUAAAUCCGGUUCACUUUAACACUGAGGCGUGACGACGAGGCACUACGGUGCUGAAGCAACAAAUGCCCUGCUUCCAGGAAAAGCCUCUAAGCAUCAGGUAACAUCAAAUCGUACCCCAAACCGACACAGGUGGUCAGGUAGAGAAUACCAAGGCGCUUGAGAGAACUCGGGUGAAGGAACUAGGCAAAAUGGUGCCGUAACUUCGGGAGAAGGCACGCUGACACGUAGGUGAAGUGAUUUACUCAUGGAGCUGAAGUCAGUCGAAGAUACCAGCUGGCUGCAACUGUUUAUUAAAAACACAGCACUGUGCAAACACGAAAGUGGACGUAUACGGUGUGACGCCUGCCCGGUGCCGGAAGGUUAAUUGAUGGGGUCAGCGCAAGCGAAGCUCCUGAUCGAAGCCCCGGUAAACGGCGGCCGUAACUAUAACGGUCCUAAGGUAGCGAAAUUCCUUGUCGGGUAAGUUCCGACCUGCACGAAUGGCGUAAUGAUGGCCAGGCUGUCUCCACCCGAGACUCAGUGAAAUUGAACUCGCUGUGAAGAUGCAGUGUACCCGCGGCAAGACGGAAAGACCCCGUGAACCUUUACUAUAGCUUGACACUGAACAUUGAGCCUUGAUGUGUAGGAUAGGUGGGAGGCUUUGAAGCGUGGACGCCAGUCUGCAUGGAGCCGACCUUGAAAUACCACCCUUUAAUGUUUGAUGUUCUAACGUGGACCCGUGAUCCGGGUUGCGGACAGUGUCUGGUGGGUAGUUUGACUGGGGCGGUCUCCUCCUAAAGAGUAACGGAGGAGCACGAAGGUUGGCUAAUCCUGGUCGGACAUCAGGAGGUUAGUGCAAUGGCAUAAGCCAGCUUGACUGCGAGCGUGACGGCGCGAGCAGGUGCGAAAGCAGGUCAUAGUGAUCCGGUGGUUCUGAAUGGAAGGGCCAUCGCUCAACGGAUAAAAGGUACUCCGGGGAUAACAGGCUGAUACCGCCCAAGAGUUCAUAUCGACGGCGGUGUUUGGCACCUCGAUGUCG